rnacentral:rRNA from 1 species
UACGGAGGGUGCGAGCGUUGUCCGGAAUCACUGGGCGUAAAGGGCGCGUAGGCGGCGCGGAUAGUCGGCGGUGAAAGCCCGGAGCUCAACUCCGGGUCGGCCGUCGAUACUUCCGGGCUUGAGCACUGUAGAGGCAGAUGGAAUUCCGGGUGUAGCGGUGGAAUGCGUAGAGAUCCGGAGGAACACCUGUGGCGAAAGCGGCUCACUGGACCACAACUGACGCUGAGGCGCGAAAGCUAGGGGAGCAAACAGG